rnacentral:misc_RNA from 1 species
CCGAGUUUACAACUCCCAAACCAUUGUGAACCUACCUAUCUGUUGCUUCGGCGGCGAUCCCAGCGCCGCGCCCCGUACCCCCUCGGGGACGGCCCGCCGGAGGCGUCCAAACUAUAGCUAUAUUGGCCUCUCUGAGUAAGCUAUAAAAAUAAGUCA